UGGGGAAUAUUGGACAAUGGGCGAAAGGCCUGAUCCAGCCAUGCCGCGUGUGUGAAGAAGGUCUUCGGAUUUGUAAAAGCACUUUAAAGUUGGGAGGGAAGGGCAGUAAAGUUUAAUACCUUGCUGUUUUUGGACGUUACCAACAGAAUAAGCACCGGCUAACUUCGUGCCAGCAGCCGCGGUAAUACGAAGGGUGCAAGCGUUAAUCGGAAUUACUGGGCGUAAAGCGCGCGUAGGUGGUUCGUUAAGUUGGAUGUGAAAGCCCCGGGCUCAACCUGGGAACUGCAUCCAAAAUCUGGCGAGCUAGAGUAUGGCAGAGGGUGGUGGAAUUUCCUGUGUAGCGGUGAAAUGCGUAGAUAUAGGAAGGAACACCAGUGGCGAAGGCGACCACCUGGGCUAAUACUGACACUGAGGUGCG
rnacentral:rRNA from 1 species